GAUGAAGAACGCAGCGAAAUGCGAUAAGUUAUGUGAAUUGCAGAUUUCAGUGAAUCAUCGAAUCUUUGAACGCACCUUGCGCCUUGUGGUAUUCCACAAGGCAUGCCCGUUUGAAUAUCAUUAAAUCAUCAACUCUAAAACCUUUGUGGUUUUUUUAGAGCUUGGUCUUGAGGGUUUUGCAGGCUUUUUUUUUCGAGUCUGCUCCCUUUAAAUGCAUUAGCGAGACUUCCCUAUGCUGAACCGUCUCUUUGACGUGAUAAUUAUCUGCGUCGAAUUUUGGUUCUCGUUGGGCUUGCUUCUAAUCGUCUGUUAAAGACAAAACGGAUUUGGGUGCAUAUAUGCGCCUUUUUCCAAAACCUUUUUUGAUCUCAAAUCGGGUAGGACUACCCGCUGAACUUAAGCAUAUCAAUAAGCGGAGGA
rnacentral:misc_RNA from 1 species